rfam:Picea glauca, whole genome shotgun sequence.
ACGUAAUGUGAUUCCUAUAGAUUUAAUGAAAUGGAUCGCAUUAGAAAUCCACAUUUAAGCGUUCUUGGGCUAGAGUAGUACUAGCAUGGGUGACCUCCCAGGAAGUCCUAGUGUUUUACAUG